UGAUUUCACACUGCCGAGAAAAGCCUCUAGAUAGAAAAUAGGUGCCCGUACCGCAAACCGACACAGGUAGUCAAGAUGAGAAUUCUAAGGUGAGCGAGCGAACUCUCGUUAAGGAACUCGGCAAAAUGACCCCGUAACUUCGGGAGAAGGGGUGCUCUUUAGGGUUAACGCCCAGAAGAGCCGCAGUGAAUAGGCCCAAGCGACUGUUUAUCAAAAACACAGGUCUCUGCUAAACCGUAAGGUGAUGUAUAGGGGCUGACGCCUGCCCGGUGCUGGAAGGUUAAGAGGAGUGGUUAGCUUCUGCGAAGCUACGAAUCGAAGCCCCAGUAAACGGCGGCCGUAACUAUAACGGUCCUAAGGUAGCGAAAUUCCUUGUCGGGUAAGUUCCGACCCGCACGAAAGGCGUAACGAUUUGGGCACUGUCUCAACGAGAGACUCGGUGAAAUCAUAGUACCUGUGAAGAUGCAGGUUACCCGCGACAGGACGGAAAGACCCCGUGGAGCUUUACUGUAGCCUGAUAUUGAAAUUCGGCACAGCUUGUACAGGAUAGGUAGGAGCCUUUGAAACGUGAGCGCUAGCUUACGUGGAGGCGCUGGUGGGAUACUACCCUAGCUGUGUUGGCUUUCUAACCCGCACCACUUAUCGUGGUGGGAGACAGUGUCAGGCGGGCAGUUUGACUGGGGCGGUCGCCUCCUAAAAGGUAACGGAGGCGCUCAAAGGUUCCCUCAGAAUGGUUGGAAAUCAUUCAUAGAGUGUAAAGGCAUAAGGGAGCUUGACUGCGAGACCUACAAGUCGAGCAGGGUCGAAAGACGGACUUAGUGAUCCGGUGGUUCCGCAUGGAAGGGCCAUCGCUCAACGGAUAAAAGCUACCCCGGGGAUAACAGGCUUAUCUCCCCCAAGAGUUCACAUCGACGGGGAGGUUUGGCACCUCGAUGUCGGCUCAUCGCAUCCUGGGGCUGUAGUCGGUCCCAAGGGUUGGGCUGUUCGCCCAUUAAAGCGGUACGCGAGCUGGGUUCAGAACGUCGUGAGACAGUUCGGUCCCUAUCCGUCGUGGGCGUAGGAAAUUUGAGAGGAGCUGUCCUUAGUACGAGAGGACCGGGAUGGACAUACCUCUGGUGUACCAGUUGUCGUGCCAACGGCAUAGCUGGGUAGCUAUGUGUGGACGGGAUAAGUGCUGAAAGCAUCUAAGCAUGAAGCCCCCCUCAAGAUGAGAUUUCCCAACUUCGGUUAUAAGAUCCCUCAAAGAUGAUGAGGUUAAUAGGUUCGAGGUGGAAGCAUGGUGACAUGUGGAGCU
rnacentral:rRNA from 1 species